rnacentral:RNase_P_RNA from 1 species
UGAGUUGACUGGAUGGUUACACAUUUAAUGUGAGGAAAGUCCGAGCAUCAUAAGGCAAGGUGGCAGAGAAAUCCUGCUGAAGGUGACUUCAAGGAAAGUGCAACAGAAAAAUACCGCAGUUUUUUUACUGUAAGGGUGAAAAGGUGUGUUAAGAGCACACCAGCAUUUUGGCGACAAAAAUGGCUGUGUAAACCCCACUUGAUGCAAGAAAGGAGAUUAUUAGUUGCCCGCUAUUCUCCUUAAUCGCUAGAGCUCUUUAGGCGACUAGGGGCCAAGAUAGAUGACCAUUCUAGACAGAACUCGGCUUACAGGUCAACUCACAAU